AUUGGCCAGACCUAGGGAUCAAUAGAGGGGUAAAGGGAAUGGGAGCAGCAGUAAACCACUACUGUUGGCUGUGAACCACCGUCAAACACCUUUGAAUUUGGGGCGUUGAUUCGAG